CAAAGUCAGCGAUGCCAUGGUGGUUGAUGGCAAUUGCAAAAUUCUAUUUCUAAUCAAGCCAUAUUCAAGAACCCAAGAAGACUAUUGAAGAGGAGACACUGCUGAACAAAUCCUUCUAGCUCCAAGAUUGCAAGCCUCUCAUGUUUUCUCCCCUGCUCUGCCAUUUUCAGAACUAAUCCUUAAUAUUGUCAAACUAUUGGAGGCAAGAUUAUCAAACUAUUGAUAAUUUUGUCAUAACCAAAUUUUUGAACAAAUAAUAAAAAUUAAAUAUAGUUGAUAAUUGGGUUAAGACAACAAGUCUUGAAGUUUAAGGAUAAAAUUAUCAGAUUUGAGAAUAAAUUGAUCAGAAAUUGAAGAAUUAAUAAGUUUGUGGACUUAAUUAAACUUUGAUUUAAUUAAUUAAAUAAAUUCAGGGACUUAAUUGAAAUUUAUCCAAAAGGGGCAAAAUAAAAAGAAUUAAUUAAGGACCAAAUUGAAUAAUCCAGGAAUUAAGGACUGUUUUGUAAACAGUAUACCAAUUUAGGGAUUUAAUUGAAAUUAAUCAAAAAGGGGCAAAAUUAAAAGAAAUGUUUUAUUUGCUUAGGGGUCCAAUUGAGAAAUUUCCAAGGUUCAGGGGUCCAAUUGAAAAUGUCCAUGGUUGUUUGAAAACAGCGCCGUUGCUGGGAACAGCUGCGUUCGUCUUCUCCAUCCCGGUUCAGUAGGCUGAAGAUCUGCAACAAACUUGAUCUGAUCGUGGACCACGAUCCCUCUCAUGAUUUGAAUACAAGUCCUGCAAAGAUGGGUUUGAUGGGGCUAUAAAAAGAGGAAACCAAAUGCAAGCAAAAGGAGAGGGGGCAGAAGGAAAACCCAGAACCAGAGGGGAACGCAAGCAAAACACAAAGAAAAAACCCAAGAACAAAGAGGAAGCAAGAAAUCAACCCAGAAAAGCAAGAAAUCAGACCAGAAAAAUAGAGAAAACAAAACACAACCCAAAAAUACUGAGUCAAAAGAAGAAAAACAACCCAAAACAGAGGAACUCACAGCACAGAAACAGAGCAUAAAAAACCCAAAAAAAAAAUAUACAGAGAAGGGGAAGAAAGGCAGAGUAGAGUCACAGAUCAGCCCACGACCUUCGUCCCUGCAGAAAAAGAACAAGCCAAGAACCGGAGAAAAACAGACGAACAUAAGCAGAGGACAUCCACCGUGACCAGAAGCAUUGUUGCUGCUGCCUUCGGUGUAUCCAGAGCCAGGUAAGUAAGUUUCUCUUUCACCGCUUUUCAUUUUAAUUCACUUCCUACUGUACAUUCUCAAUUUAAUUCUCUUUA
rnacentral:lncRNA from 1 species